rnacentral:rRNA from 1 species
GUGGGGAAUCUUGCGCAAUGGGCGAAAGCCUGACGCAGCCAUGCCGCGUGAAUGAUGAAGGUCUUAGGAUUGUAAAAUUCUUUCACCGGGGACGAUAAUGACGGUACCCGGAGAAGAAGCCCCGGCUAACUUCGUGCCAGCAGCCGCGGUAAUACGAAGGGGGCUAGCGUUGCUCGGAAUUACUGGGCGUAAAGGGCGCGUAGGCGGACAGUUUAGUCAGGGGUGAAAGCCCAGGGCUCAGCCUUGGAAUUGCCUUUGAUACUGGCUGUCUUGAGUACGGGAGAGGUGAGUGGAACUCCGAGUGUAGAGGUGAAAUUCGUAGAUAUUCGGAAGAACACCAGUGGCGAAGGAGACAUACUGGUCCAUUACUGACGCUGAGGCUCGAAAGCGUGGGGAGCAAACAGGAUUAGAUACCCCAGUAGUCC